rnacentral:rRNA from 1 species
AUGGCUCAUUACAACAGCCGUUGUUUCUUGGAUCUUGAUUUACUUGGAUAACUGUGGUAAUUCUAGAGCUAAUACAUGCAACACAGCUCCGACCGCUCGGGAGGAGCGCAUUUAUUAGACCAAGACCAAUCGGGCCUCGGCCUGGAAUCUGGUGACUCUGAAUAACUUUGCUGAUCACACGGUCCUAGCACCGGUGACAUAUCUUUCAAGUGUCUGCCCUAUCAACUUUCGAUGGUAGUUUAUGUGCCUACCAUGGUUGUAACGGGUAACGGAGAAUAAGGGUUCGACUCCGGAGAGGGAGCCUGAGAAAUGGCUACCACAUCCAAGGAAGGCAGCAGGCGCGCAAAUUACCCACUCUCAGCUCGAGGAGGUAGUGACGAAAAAUAACGAGACGGUUCUCUAUGAGGCCCGUCAUCGGAAUGGGUACAAUUUAAACCCUUUAACGAGGAUCUAUUGGAGGGCAAGUCUGGUGCCAGCAGCCGCGGUAAUUCCAGCUCCAAUAGCAUAUACCAAUUCUGUUGCUGUUAA